AUUGAACGCUGGCGGCAGGCCUAACACAUGCAAGUCGAGCGAGCGGCGGACGGGUGAGUACUGUCUGGGAAACUGCCCGUUGGAGGGGGAUAACUACAGGAAACGGUAGUUAAUACUGCAUACCAUCAGAUGUGUCCAGACGGGAUUAGCUAGUAGGUGGGGGAACGGCCCACAAAGGCGACGAUCCCUAGCUGGUCUGAGAGGAUGACCAGCCACACUGGAACUGAGACACGGUCCAGACUCCUACGGGAGGCAGCAGUGGGGAAUAUUGCACAAUGGGCGCAAGCCUGAUGCAGCCAGGCCGCGUGUGUGAAGAAGGCCUUCGGGUUGUAAAGCACUUUCAGCGGGGAGGCGUUACCCGCAGAAGAAGCACCGGCUAACUCCGUGCCAGCAGCCGCGGUAAUUC
rnacentral:rRNA from 1 species